rnacentral:rRNA from 1 species
CUCCUAGAUGGACCUGCGGCGCAUUAGCUAGUUGGCGGGGCAACGGCCCACCAAGGCGAGGAUGCGUAGCCGACCUGAGAGGGUGAACGGCCACAAUGGGACUGAGACACGGCCCAGACUCCUACGGGAGGCAGCAGUAGGGAGUAUUUGGCAAUGGGGGAAACCCUGACCGAGCAACGCCGCGUGAGUGAUUGAAGGUCUUAGGAUCGUAAAGCUCUGUUGCGCGGGACGAACGGCGGUCGCAGGUAAUGGCGAUCGUCUGACGGUACCGCGCCAGAAAGUGACGGCUAACUACGUGCCAGCAGCCGCGGUAAUACGUAGGUCACGAGCGUUAUCCGGAAUUAUUGGGCGUAAAGAGUGAGCAGGCGGCUCGCUAAGCCCGGAGUGAAAGCGUGGGGCUCAACCCCAUACAGCCUUGGAAACUGGCGGGCUAGAGUGCGCGAGAGGUCAACGGAACUCCAUGUGUAGCGGUGAAAUGCGUAGAUAUAUGGAAGAACACCGGUGGCGAAGGCGGUUGGCCAGCGCUGCACUGACGCUCAGUCACGAAAGCGUGGGGAGCAAAUAGGAUUAGAUACCCUAGUAGUCCAUGCCGUAAACGAUGACGACUAACUGUCCCUCCGUGGGGCGGUGAAGCCAACGCAUUAAGUCGUCCGCCUGGGAACUACGGCCGCAAGGCUGAAACUUAAAGGAAUUGACGGGACCCCGCACAAGUAGUGGAGCAUGUGGUUUAAUUCGACGCUACGCGGAAAACCUUACCAGGGCUUGACAUCCCGGCGCUAGUCGCGGAGACGCGAUGAGAUUGCCGGAGACAGGUGGUGCAUGGUUGUCGUCAGCUCGUGUCGUGAGAUGUUGGGUUAAGUCCCGCAACGAGCGCAACCCCCGUCGCCAGUUACCAUCAUUAGGUUGGGGACUCUGCCGAGACCGCCGGUGCAAACCGGAGGAAGGUGGGGAUGACGUCAAAUCAGCAUGCCCUUUAUGCCCUGGGCGACACACGUGCUACAAUGGCCGGUACAGAGG